UACGAAGGGGGCUAGCGUUGUUCGGAAUUACUGGGCGUAAAGCGCACGUAGGCGGACAUUUAAGUCAGGGGUGAAAUCCCAGAGCUCAACUCUGGAACUGCCUUUGAUACUGGGUGUCUAGGGUAUGGAAGAGGUGAGUGGAAUUCCGAGUGUAGAGGUGAAAUUCGUAGAUAUUCGGAGGAACACCAGUGGCGAAGGCGGCUCACUGGCCCAUUACUGACGCUGAGGUGCGAAAGCGUGGGGAGCAAACAGG
rnacentral:rRNA from 1 species